CAAAGAAAGAAACAAAAAAGAAUUCCUCCCUCUGUGACCCUGUAGGGACAACAGGUCACAUGAAUCUGACCUUGCUGUGAUAGUCAAAGGUCUAAAGCUGGUGGACAAAAAAGUAACCAAAACACUUCUGGUUACCCUCAGGGGCAGUCACUCUCUGAACAGGACUCUGGUCGCUAAGGAAAUAGUGCCUCCAGCUGGCAACUGUGAAAACCUUAGACCCUGCGAAGGAAAUGCUCAUAUGCCUGCAGCAUGGGAGAGACUUUCUGAUGGCCUCUCAUCUGGCAGAGGAUACACAUCUAGAAGACAAUAAAAACCCAGAGUUUUAAGGAAGAAAACACCAAAUCUCCCAACCAACCAAAGGCCUGACAAAGUGAACAAUAGGAGAUGGACUCCACUGGAGAUAAUCACACUGAAUGAAAGGAGUCCGUCUCAGAAUGGCAGGUCCUGCCUGCGUGUCUCUCAGGUGUGGCUCCUCCUAUGUGUGCUACACACAUGGAAUACAGCAGGUUCUGAAGACAUGGGGCAUCUGGAGAAACUUCGGGGAGAACAGAGUGGCCUAAAGGGAGAAGGUAGGCUUGUGGAAUCAGAGGGCAUUGGAACAUGGUGGAUGGAAUAGGCCAAGAGAGAAGUAUAUAAUUGCAUGAAAUUAUAUAUUGCAACCACAUGUCCUUCCAGUAAAUAAAACACUUUGAAAUGUG